rnacentral:misc_RNA from 1 species
AACUUUCGGCAAUGGAUCUCUCGGCUCUUGCAUCGAAGAAGAACGCAGUCCAUUGCGAAAAGUCAUGCGACAUGCACACUUUGAGAAGCAUUACUCUUUGAACGCACCUUGCGCGUGGAAGGACUCUUCCACGAGGUCCUGUUUGAGCAAGAGAAGCAAAUGAUACGUGGCCGCUAAGAGCACUAGUUGAACUUGGCGGCUCAAAGAGAUGCGGGCCCGAACGACUCUAGGGCAGGCGAGCGCGACGCCGUGUUCAAGCAUCACGCGACGCACUCACCUUUAACGCAGGACAGAUGUCUCACACUCACCUGUGAAACACCAACACACACUACCCUUCUCAAAUCAGGAUAGAGGACCCGCUGAACUUAAGCAUAUCAAUAAGCGGAGGCU